AUUGAACGCUGGCGGCAGGCCUAACACAUGCAAGUCGAACGAGUGGCGGACGGGUGAGUAAUGUCUGGGAAACUGCCUGAUGGAGGGGGAUAACUACUGGAAACGGUAGCUAAUACCGCAUACCAUCGGCUUUGCCCAUAUGGGAUUAGCUAGUAGGUGGGGUAAAGGCUCACCUAGGCGACGAUCCCUAGCUGGGCUGAGAGGAUGACCAGCCACACUGGAACUGAGACACGGUCCAGACUCCUACGUGAGGCAGCAGUGGGGAAUAUUGAUCAAUUGGCGCAAGCCUGAUGCAGCCGUGCCGUGUGUAUGAAGAAGGUCUUCGGGUUGUAAAGUACUUUCAGCGGGGAGGCGUUACCCGCAGAAGAAGCACCGGCUAACUCCGUGCCAGCAGCCGCGGUAAUAC
rnacentral:rRNA from 1 species